CGGGCGCGGCUCGCCCCGCCGCCGCCGCCGCCGCCGGGGUCUCCGCCCGCGCCGGGCGGGAUGCGGGCCGCUCGCAGGCGGCUGUGCUCCGCCCUGAUCGUCGCUUACGGCCUCUUCUCCCUGUACGCGGCCUACACCGUCUUCCUCCGGCCCCGCCGCCCGGCCGCCCCCCGCCCGCCGCCCCGGGACCGCCGCGGCCCGCGAGACCGUGCUGCCUUGGGAAAUGGAGAGUGGAAUCCGUGGGAAGGGGACGAGAAAAACGAACUGCUUGCUUCUCAGCAGAGAUACGAAGCGAAUCUUAAGAUGAUACAAAAUGCAAGAUCUCACCUAGAACAAACCAGUCUCAGGGUACAGAUCUGGGGCAAAGCAGCAAUUGGUCUUUACCUUUGGCAACAUAUUUUUGGAGGGCGCCUUGAGCCAGCUGAUGUGACUGCGCAGUGGAGAGAAGGAAGCCAAAAAGCAGGAAAAACAUGUUUCAGUUUCAUCACUGGUCCAUCUGUAGUUCCUGGCUACUUCUCAGUUGAGGCUGAAAAUGUUGUGCUAGUUCUGAAUGGAAGAGAAAAAGCAAAGAUCACUUAUGCCACUCAAUGGUUGCAUUACGCACAAACAUUAAUUCAGACUCACAAAAUACAGCACGUAGCGGUUGUGCUGCUUGGAAAUGAGCAGUGCAACAAUGAAUGGAUUCAACCAUACCUGAAAAGAAAUGGAGGAUUUGUAAAUCUACUCUUUGUUACAUAUGACUAUGCAUUGGUAAAUGAAGAAGAUAUUUUCCAGUGGCCUUUAGGAGUUGCUACCUACAGAAAUUUUCCUGUUGUAGAACCCAGCUGGUCAAUGCUACGUGAUCCAAGAUCGUAUCUAUGUAAUUUCUUAGGAACAGUUUAUAAGAACUCUUCUAGGGAAACCCUAAUGGAAGUUCUGAAGCAGGAUGGGCUUGACAAACUUUGCUGGAUUGCAGCCAGAGAACAGUGGCAGCCUCAAGAAACAGAUGAAAGUUUCAAAAACUAUCAAGAUGCCUUGCUGCAGAGUGAUUUGACAUUGUGCCCAGUGGGAAUAAAUACAGAAUGCUAUAGAAUUUAUGAAGCUUGUUCAUAUGGAUCUCUGCCUGUUAUAGAAGAUGUAAUGACAUCGGGUGAUUGCGGAAAUUCAUCAGUGUACCACAGUGCUCCAUUACAAUUAUUAAAAACCAUGGGGGCUCCAUUUAUCUUUAUUAAGAACUGGAAAGAGCUUCCUGCUGUUCUAGAGAAAGAAAAAAAAAUGAGCUUACAAGAAAAGAUUCAGAGGAGAAAAAAGCUUAUAGAGUGGUAUCGAAACUUCAAAGCAUGGAUGAGACAGAAAUUCAUUAAUACUUUGGAAAAUUCAUUUUUGCCAAAUGCUAAAGGAUAAAUUGUCCCUUUUGAAAAUCUAGAAUAGAUUGAAAGUUUAAUUUCCAUUAACCUUCCAAGAGAGCUUUUAUACAAAAGAAAUCUCACAAGGCAGAUGCAUUCCUUUUGACGUCAACAGAAUUGUGCUAGCUUGGGCAAGAGCUACGUUUGGCCCUUCAUCCUUAACAAUUUUGAGAGAGGUUGUUGACUUAGCAGGAUGGUAGUCUGUAAGGAUGACAACAAUUUUAUUAUCAUUUUUACAAUUUCCAUGUUGGUGUGUGACCUGAUAGAUUUUUUUUCUUUUUUAGGAGAAUAUCUUUGAGCAUGUGAACUUGUUAAAAUCUAACAUGAGUACAACAGUUGUGUUUGAAGAAAAGAGAAGAAUGGAAGCUGUAUGGUACAGGGUAAUUUAUUACGUAGACUAAAGAAGAGAAGUAUGAUUAUAGCAAAAUCACCAAGUUUAGCACAAUCAUUAAGAUGCAUCCUGUGCUAAUGGAGCAAAGAGAGCAAAACAUCCUGAAGCCAAGGAAGGGUUCCUGACACAUUAGGCAGCAAGGAAUGCUCUGCAUUCCCUGAAUGAAACUUCACAUGCAACUAUAGAUGCCUGAACACAGCUUAUGUUGUUUGGCACCAAAGUCUUAGACAUUGCCUCAUGACUUCCGAGAUCUGAAUUCAGUUCCCCACAACAAGUUACCAAAGGUCAAAUUCACCAGAGAAUAUUCACAUCCAAUGUAAAACCUAGGCUUGCAUUUCACAUGGAUGGGACUAGGGGAUGAGACUGAAGGAAUGGCAGAAGGACAGAAACCUGAGGCUCCAACAGCAUGGGAGGAAUGAGGACUGGGAACAGCUGUAGCAAGUUCUGCUUCGAAUAUCUUCAAGCACUGCCCAAGACAGUAGCUUCGCUUCCUACUGUAAGACUUGGCAGUGUGAUACUUUUACUACCCACAUUAAGUGUAUAUUCUGGAGGCCAACGUUUCAAUAGUCACCAGUGAAGUGGCUCAGUAAUACAGUGUAAAUACACUCUUGCCAGAGUCAAAAGACUGCCAGCAACUGAGGCACUGGGCAUUUGGAUAGUUUUCCGUGGGUUUUAUUUAAACAAUAAAUGCAUGGCAUAAUGGCAGAAGUGGAGUGGAAUCAGAAGUGCUGAAGACAACCACAGAGACAUAGGGGUUCUGGCAGUGGUAGCAAGUCUUGCUACUCCAGUUUUGCAGAAGCAAGAUCUGGGAUCACUCAUUUUCAAGGCUGUUGAUGACUGGAUGAACUGGAAAACAAAAUUUGAGCAUUUUAGAUGAGGACCAGCCCCCUAAAGAGCAAAACAGAAGAGAAGCAAUGGGUCUGGUAAGAUUACAGACUAAACUGUAAUGGUCUUUGAGUCUGGUAAAUAAAGAAGCAAAUUUUUAUAAUAUUUUAA